AGUCAUAAAGACAAGAGAAAG
rnacentral:snRNA from 1 species